rnacentral:rRNA from 1 species
AGAGUUUGAUCAUGGCUCAGGACGAACGCUGGCGGCGUGCCUAACACAUGCAAGUCGAACGGGACCAGGGGCAACUCUGGUUCAGUGGCGGACGGGUGCGUAACACGUGAGGAACAUGACUUUCGGCGGGGGAUAGCCGGCCCAACGGCCGGGUAAUACCGCGUACGACCUCUCGGGGACAUCCCCGGUUGGUGAAAGCAGCAAUGCACCGAAAGAGUGCCUCGCGGCCUAUCAGCUAGUUGGUGAGGUAACGGCUCACCAAGGCGACGACGGGUAGCUGGUCUGAGAGGAUGGCCAGCCACAUUGGGACUGAGACACGGCCCAGACUCCUACGGGAGGCAGCAGUGGGGAAUCUUGCGCAAUGGGCGAAAGCCUGACGCAGCGACGCCGCGUGGGGGAUGACGGCUUUCGGGUUGUAAACCUCUUUCGACCUCGACGAAGCUUUCGGGUGACGGUAGGGGUAGAAGAAGCACCGGCCAACUACGUGCCAGCAGCGGCGGUAAUAC